rnacentral:tRNA from 4 species
GGUUCUGUAGCUCAGCUGGUAGAGCAGUACACUUUUAAUGUACGGGUCCUGGGUUCGAAUCCCAGCGGAGCCACUA